rnacentral:rRNA from 1 species
AACUCGGGCUAAUACCGCAUACGCUCUAUGGAGGAAAGCGGGGGACCUUCGGGCCUCGCGCUAUGAGAUGAGCCUACGUCCGAUUAGCUAGUUGGUAGGGUAAUGGCCUACCAAGGCGACGAUCGGUAGCUGGUCUGAGAGGACGAUCAGCCACACUGGAACUGAGACACGGUCCAGACUCCUACGGGAGGCAGCAGUGGGGAAUAUUGGACAAUGGGCGAAAGCCUGAUCCAGCAAUGCCGCGUGUGUGAAGAAGGCCUGCGGGUUGUAAAGCACUUUAAGCGGGGAAGAAAGGCGGGAGGCUAAUACCCUCUUGCACUGACGUUACCUGCAGAAUAAGCACCGGCUAACUCCGUGCCAGCAGCCGCGGUAAUACGGAGGGUGCGAGCGUUAAUCGGAAUUACUGGGCGUAAAGCGCGCGUAGGCGGUUUGUUAAGUCAGCUGUGAAAGCCCUGGGCUCAACCUGGGAAUGGCAGUUGAUACUGGCGAGCUUGAGUGUGGUAGAGGGGUGUGGAAUUUCCGGUGUAGCAGUGAAAUGCGUAGAGAUCGGAAGGAACACCAGUGGCGAAGGCGG